ACGAACGCUGGCGGCGUGCUUAACACAUGCAAGUCGAACGCUGAAGCUUGGUGCUUGCACUGGGUGGAUGAGUGGCGAACGGGUGAGUAAUAAGUGAGUAACCUGCCCUUGACUCUGGGAUAAGCCUGGGAAACUGGGUCUAAUACUGGAUACGACAUGUCACCGCAUGGUGGUGUGUGGAAAGGGUUUUACUGGUUUUGGAUGGGCUCACGGCCUAUCAGCUUGUUGGUGGGGUAAUGGCUCACCAAGGCGACGACGGGUAGCCGGCCUGAGAGGGUGACCGGCCACACUGGGACUGAGACACGGCCCAGACUCCUACGGGAGGCAGCAGUGGGGAAUAUUGCACAAUGGGCGGAAGCCUGAUGCAGCGACGCCGCGUGAGGGAUGACGGCCUUCGGGUUGUAAACCUCUUUCAGCACGGAAGAAGCGAAAGUGACGGUACGUGCAGAAGAAGCGCCGGCUAACUACGUG
rnacentral:rRNA from 1 species